rnacentral:rRNA from 1 species
AGGGUUUGAUCAUGGCUCAGAUUGAACGCUGGCGGCAUGCCUUACACAUGCAAGUCGAACGGCAGCACGGGAGCAAUCCUGGUGGCGAGUGGCGAACGGGUGAGUAAUACCUAGGAACAUGUCCAGUAAUGGGGGAUAACGCAGCGAAAGCUGUGCUAAUACCGCAUACGCCCUACGGGGGAAAGCGGGGGAUUCGUAAGAACCUCGUGUUAUUGGAGUGGCCUAGGCCUGAUUAGCUAGUUGGUGAGGUAAAGGCUCACCAAGGCGACGAUCAGUAGCUGGUCUGAGAGGAUGAUCAGCCACACUGGAACUGAGACACGGUCCAGACUCCUACGGGAGGCAGCAGUGGGGAAUUUUGGACAAUGGGGGAAACCCUGAUCCAGCCAUUCCGCAUGAGUGAAGAAGGCCUUCGGGUUGUAAAGCUCUUUCAGGAGGGAAGAAACGGUCUUGGAUAAUACCUGAGACUAAUGACGGUACCUUCAGAAGAAGCACCGGCUAACUACGUGCCAGCAGCCGCGGUAAUACGUAGGGUGCGAGCGUUAAUCGGAAUUACUGGGCGUAAAGCGUGCGCA